GUCUCGAAUCCCGCUAAAAUAAGGGUGUCUAUCCCGAAUCCCGACAGUUAUUUUCGGCCCAUCCCAGUGUCCCGAAAAUACCCGUUCUCCCCCUCAUACAUAGUAGACCAUAUUGUCACAUUGAUGUUUUCUUUCAUUACACUUAGACUACAUUGAGAUCUACAUUUUCGACAAAGGCCAGGUGUAAUAUUAUUACGUACUUGAUGAAGGUAAUAUUAAUUUCUUCAAAUUUGAAGCAUGACGUUAAUGGAGUACCAGCACAACUUCAUUGACUGCUACGUGGCGCUGGUGGAAACUAAGGUAUUGCAUCGCUCAUAUCACUUGAAAAAAACAUUUACCCUAGUUACGACCAAAGCUGCUUAGCAGAGGGCGAUACCUCAUCAGGAGCGCCACAAUCAUAUCAUUGGUGUGAAAGCAUUUGUAUGAAGUUUUUCAGUUCUCAAUGUGUUCGAAACCUUAAUUGUGAAUUUGUGCACUUCGAAUUCAAAUUUACGUCACUACGUUAGUUUGACAUCCAUUGAUGUCACGGUAAUUUCACUGUUAUGCUGUGCUGCUUUCAGGUUUAAUGACACGAAUGAGUACAAGUACAUUACAUUUUUCGACGAAGGCCUUCUGUAAUUUCAUACGCUUCUUACGCAACAUUCAAUAGAUUUAUUUACUGUAUUAUCAUUUCGACCAAGGCGAAUUCGACACUUCAAUUACACAAGCACAAUCAAACUUAGUCAUUCCAGUCAGUUACUGAAGCACAGCGAAAACUGUCUGAAUUAGUGCUGCUGAUGGCAUGUAAUUACUCUACUACCACUACCAGUGACAGUCAAUGUCCAAAUAUUUUCAAGUGUGCGAAAUUAGUACUCGUCUACUUCUUAGUGUUAUUUGAAUGCAAUGUAUGUUAUAAAAAUAUUUUUUCAACACUAUAUCAACAUUCUCAUUCCUGUCAGUUUCUGAAAAUCAGCUAAAGCAAUCGCUACCAAUGCAGCGGAUAACAGCAAUUCUUUUUGUUCCCAAUGCCCAUCCAUGACAAUAUAUUUCACGCAUGUGACAAUCAUGUAAUCAUCGUGUUUUUUGUGUUCUAUUCAUGCAAUAAAUAAAUUCAGUAUUUUCAAAUCAUUGGUGCUACAAAACUAUUCUCAUUAUAGAUUAUUCAUAUUUUAUAAAAUGCUGUCAUGUCAAAUUUUGUGUCCUAUAAAUCAUAAUGAAGUCGGCAUUUUAUAUACAACUUUUGUACUCCUCCUAAAUAAACAUACAAAUCUUGUUUUAUGUAAACUUUGUAUAUGUGACCCGUCACAGCAAAACCAGGCGCAUGUCGCUCUGAGCUUGGCAGGUUGAGACGGACUGUUCUAAUCUUUCAUUAGCGACACCAUUUCUUACCAGAGUGCCUCCUUCAUUCAUACAUCUUGUACUUUAACUCAAGAUACCCAUCUUUGAAUAUUUUUAGUAUACCAAGUACUACAAUGUCAAUGUAUUGAAGUCAUGUUCUUGUAGUGUUAUUGGCUUUCUAUUAUCUUGUCAAAAUACCACUUGGUUCUCGCAAAAUCUCAAUAAAAACAAAUGCUAUUGCAUGUAUUGCAUAUUCUAACAGCUAUCCACUGUAUCGAUUUAUCCAUCAUCUGUACUAUUUGUCACAAAAAUGUUAUAUUAUGUAAAUCAUAUUUCAUUACAUAAUGCACACUGCCAAUUACUGCUGAACCAUUCAUAUGUCAUUUAAAUAAAUAAUUUUCAACUUUUUAAAACCGUCUUAUAGUACUGUUCUUGUCACUUAGCUGAACCAAUUGCUCUAUAGCAUGAAAUUUCCAGAAAUGCCCCAGGGACUGAAAAGUGCUGUUUUAACAGAGAGGUGUCCUAAACUGAGAAGUCGAGUUGAAUGGAAACAACCAAUUUGGAACCAAAAACUACUGUCCUUAUUAAAGAGGUUGUCCUCAAUAGAAAGGUGUCCACAAAAAGUAGGUCCACUGUAUAUGAAAGUACAAACCCUGGUACAUGUAGUGACAUCAUCUACUCCUCGAUGUGGACACCUGCAAAUGCAGCGACAAUGUCACAUCAGUUAUUUAAUUCAUCGUCCUUUGUGCAGAUGGCACCACCCAUCAAACAUGUUGGUGACGAAUAGUGUCGCAGCAUUUCGUCACCGAGCUUUCACGAAAAUGCACUGUCAUUCAUUCAGCCAUAAG